rnacentral:rRNA from 1 species
GACGAACGCUGACGGUGUGCUUUAGACAUGCAAGUCGAACGAGAAAGCCCUUCGGGGUUAGUAAAGUGGCGAACGGGUGAGUAACACGUGGGCAAUCUGCCCCUCGCAGGGGGACAACCGGAGGAAACUCCGGCUAAUACCCCGUAAGUUCAAAGGGAGGCAUCUCUCUUCGAAGAAAGGUAGCUUCGGCCAUCCGGCGAGGGAUGAGCCCGCGGUGCAUUAGCUAGUUGGUGGGGUAACGGCCUACCAAGGCGACGAUGCAUAGCUGGUCUGAGAGGAUGAUCAGCCACACUGGGACUGAGACACGGCCCAGACUCCUACGGGAGGCAGCAGUCGGGAAUCUUGCGCAAUGGGCGAAAGCCUGACGCAGCAACACCGUGUGUGUGAGGAAGGCCC